rnacentral:rRNA from 1 species
UACGUAGGGUCCGAGCGUUGUCCGGAAUUAUUGGGCGUAAAGGGCUCGUAGGCGGUCUGUUGCGUCGGGAGUGAAAACUUACAGCUUAACUGUGAGCGUGCUUCCGAUACGGGCAGACUUGAGGUAUUCAGGGGAGAACGGAAUUCCUGGUGUAGCGGUGAAAUGCGCAGAUAUCAGGAAGAACACCUAUGGCGAAGGCAGCUCUCUGGGACGGUACUGACGCUGAGACGCGAAAGCGUGGGGAGCGAACAGG